GACGAACGCUGGCGGCGUGCUUAACACAUGCAAGUCGAACGAUGAAGCCGGAGCUUGCUCUGGUGGAUUAGUGGCGAACGGGUGAGUAACACGUGAGUAACCUGCCCUUGACUCUGGGAUAAGCGUUGGAAACGACGUCUAAUACCGGAUACGAGCUGGGACCGCAUGGUCACUAGCUGGAAAGAACUUCGGUCAAGGAUGGACUCGCGGCCUAUCAGCUUGUUGGUGAGGUAAAGGCUCACCAAGGCGACGACGGGUAGCCGGCCUGAGAGGGUGACCGGCCACACUGGGACCGAGACACGGCCCAGACUCCUACGGGAGGCAGCAGUGGGGAAUAUUGCACAAUGGGCGAAAGCCUGAUGCAGCGACGCCGCGUGAGGGAUGACGGCCUUCGGGUUGUAAACCUCUUUCAGCAGGGAAGAAGCGCAAGUGACGGUACCUGCAGAAGAAGCACCGGCUAACUACGUGCCAGCCGCCGCGGUAAUAC
rnacentral:rRNA from 1 species